UCAUCACACCGUGGGCUCAUAAAUAACCAGCAGGACUCUAUCAGCCUCAGUCUCUGAGAGGACAGCACUCAAGCAAACAACUCAUCUAUAGAACAGAAGAGAAACUUCAUCACCAUGCUGACCAACAUUUGUUUGAUCUUCCUCCUGUGUGUUGCCUCAUGCAACGGACAGUCAACCACAGCUGCGACCACUGCUGCAACCACUGCUGCAACCACUGCUGCAACCACAGCUGCAACCACUGCUGCAACCACAGCUGCAACCACAGCUGCAACCACUGCUGCAACCACAGCUGCAACCACAGCUGCAACCACAGCUGCAACCACAGCUGCAACCACUGCUGCUGCAACCACAGCUGCUGCAACCACAGUUGCUGGGGCAACAACUGCUGCUGGGGCAACAAUAGCCGCUGGGGCAACAACUGCUGCCUCUUCUGCAAUCAUCCAUAAGAUGACUCUGGUUUCUGCCAUUCUGGUUGCGAUGACACAUUUACUUCGCUGCUGCUAAAGUUGUUCACAUCCUGUCAAUGAAAUGAGAAAAUCGAAGGAUAUUUAUGAAGAUUUGAAAUUCUGUAAAUAAGCUAAUUUCUUUUGCUGUAUCAUUUAUAUUGUUUAUUCUUGUUGCCAUGGUUGCAGGUGAAUCAGUAAUCCCAGCUGAGCCUCCUGGAGAUGUGAUGUCAUCCAUCCAUCUGUGAAGGGAGAACUGAAUCUGUCUGAUAUUACCUGCAUGUCUGGUUGUAAAUGCAUCAUUUCUAAGCAACAUUCUGCAAUAAAGUUUUUACAAAACUUAA